rnacentral:rRNA from 1 species
UUCGGUGUAGGAUGAGCUCGCGGCCUAUCAGCUUGUUGGUGGGGUGAUGGCCUACCAAGGCGACGACGGGUAGCCGGCCUGAGAGGGUGACCGGCCACACUGGGACUGAGACACGGCCCAGACUCCUACGGGAGGCAGCAGUGGGGAAUAUUGGACAAUGGGCGAAAGCCUAAUCCAGCAAUACCGCGUGUGUGAAGAAG